rnacentral:tRNA from 2 species
GGUCCUAUGGUGUAGUUGGUUAACAUGUCAGUCUGUCACACUGGAGAUCGCGGGUUCGAGUCCCGUUGGGACCGCCA